GACGAACCGUGCAAACGUUGUUCGGAAUCACUGGGCUUAAAGGGCGCGUAGGCGGGCAAGCAAGUCGAAGGUGAAAUCCCACGGCUCAACCGUGGAAGUGCCCCCGAUACUGCUUGUCUUGAGGGAGAUAGGGGCGUGCGGAACUUCCGGUGGAGCGGUGAAAUGCGUAGAUAUCGGAAGGAACACCGGUGGCGAAAGCGGCGACGCUGGAUCGUCUUCUGACG
rnacentral:rRNA from 1 species